CUUCAGGGAAGUUUUCUUCCAUCUCUGCUCUAUGCCCGCCCUUUCUUGCCCAGUCAUUAUUCUCAAUUAGCUAUUGCUAUGGACAGUCAUUAUCUAUUGAACCCAUUUAGAAACUUAGCCACAGACUUUAUUAACUCCAAGCUUUCAAAGAUACUGACUUUGCUGGCAAGAAGCAUAACCUUUGAAUAAACAAGCCAGGUUUGCUCUAGUGUGCAGAUGCCCAGUAUGAUUCAGUACAUUAUCAAAUUGAAAACCAAGAUCCUUCAGAAGAGUUCCAGGCAGAGAAAAGAAUGCCUUAAGAGGAAAUGACCAGGGAAAUGGGGAAUAAGGAGUGACCGAGAUCACGAGAAUGAAGUAUGUUCAAAAGGAGGAGGUCACUACAGUGUUAAAUGUUGCUGAGCUUUCGAAGCAUGAAAUAGAUUUCAUCAAUAUGAAGAAAUACAUACAAAUCAAUUCUCUUGGUCUGUAAGCUACAACUAGAAUUAUGUGAAGUACUUUAGAAACUGCUUACUUUUUCAUACCACAAAUAAAAUACUGUGAGAACCAACU
rnacentral:lncRNA from 10 species